UGGAUAGAUUAUUGUAUUCGACUGUAUUCACGGCGUGAAAUAGGGGAUUACACUGUUUUUAAACGGAAAGUGAAUCAAUUAACAUAAUAGACUCAC
rfam:Nicotiana attenuata strain TT chromosome 1, whole genome shotgun sequence.